GAUACAAUGUGUAUCCUCAGAUGUUAAGCUCCCAAAUGUGAUGUUCUUCAGCUAUGGCUCAGGUGCUCACAGCAUCAUACCAGCCAAUCUCUAAGCACGCUACAAGACCAUCUAUCUUAAUUUUAAGUACUGCAUGCAUUCAAAUAUAACACCUUCAGUCCUGUAUUCAUCACCCUUUUUGAUUUUAGAACCCUGUUACACUUAAAGUCAUCCCACCGACUGCAAUUUUGCCCUUUUAUCUGUCCGUCCUUCCUUACAGUGUUACAACAUACUCCCUCUGCUUGCAUCACCAACUACCCCAUCCUCAGCUCCAUCAGUCCUGUUCUGAGCCCCCUGUUGAGUUAGUUUAAACCCUCCCUCACGGCUCUAGCAAAGCUGAGGUUAUUGGUCCUCCUCAGGUUCAGGUAAGCCCCUCCUUUUCUGUACAGUGUAUACCUUCCCCAUUGAUCCAGAAAUGUGAAACCUUGCCCCCUUCAGCCAUACAUUCAUCUGUCAAACCAUCCUAUAGAAAUCAUAUCCUCACUGGCACAUGGCACAGGCAGCAAUCCAGAGAUUGCAAACUUGGAUGUCCACCACUACUCAUGGGUGGUCACUCCUGAUUGGAUGAGAUGGUGACAGGAGCCUUAAAUAGACUAACUUGGAGAAAUAACUGAGAGAUUGUGGUGUUUACCGAACUCUUGCUUUCCACAGGACCCAAAGGUUUACAUUUCAUUUGGAAGAGAAAUGGCGAAAGGGUGACUGAUUCUGUUAAGCACCAAACUCAGUUAUUAAAAGAUGGGCGAAUCCAUGUCAUCAGCUGGUUGAAGGACAUAGUAACUGUUGACACACAAUAUCAUUGUCACGUUAUAUCCAAAAAGGGGACUGCAAUGUCAAAUGUGCUCAUCAGUGUUGAAGAUGCUCUUGCUAAAAGCAAAUGGUCAAAGGAACUGAUGAAAUGGAGGAAAGCAGUCGAUGAUCAUGAAAAAGUGAUGCAGGCUUGGAUAAAGUCAUUGGACAGUUGUGAUUGAGAAGAACCCAGAAUGAGAUGCACAAAGGAUUUUUGUUUAAUGAAAAUCAUCUGCCAUUUUCCCACAAACACCAGCAAGCGAAUAAAUUUAACUUUAUCGUGGACAGUAGAGCUCAUUUUUGAUCAUGGACUUAAAAGAAUAAUGCAUAAUUUGCUGAACAUGUAACUUAUAACUGUUACUCGUCAUGUUGAUUCUAAGACUGUUUAACAGUCUGCAAUGAGCUAUAUGCAUGGUUCUUUGAUUCCAAUCCACAGUACCAUAAAAUUGACAUAAUCUGUAGAUCUUGUUACUCAUUAAAUAUGGCACUUUCACAGAAACAGUGGAAACUGAAGUAAUUCACGGUUUACAAGUUACAAUUAUUGUUGCUUUGCAACCGUGAAGUUUGCAAAAGCAUAAACUACAUGCCUUUGUAAAUAAAUCUCUAUGUGGGAUAUUAGUCUUGGUUUCAUUGCUGGUGUAAAAAUAUUAUGAUAAGAGGUGAUUUUACUGGGAAGUGAAAUUCAUUUUCCAACAAAUCCUUUCCCUCAUUGCUGGAGAUUGGAAUCAUUUUAGCAUUCUGGAUUAUUUACUGGUUUUGGACCAGGGAUGUUUGUGUUUAUAAAAUCAAGGAACCUUAUUUACACGGAUUUCCAAAAAAAAAACAAUAACAAACCAUAUAACUAUAAAACUUGCCAUGAUGUUGCAUAAUGAUUAAUGAAAAAGUGCCUUAGUCCUGGAGAUAUCAUGGCCAGAUUGUAACUCCUGCUUUCUCUGAAAAGUUAAACUUAGUCACUACUUGGGUGCCAAUCUUUGGAACUUCUGAAUUUAUGGUGCAUGCCAAAAAUGUUUUGUAUGUUGUAAAGAUAUUUAUUCUUCUAAUGGAAGCUGCAGAAUUAUGAAUGUGAUCCUAUGAAUUUUAAAUAAAGUGCUGAGAUUUUCAGAACUAUUUGAGUCAUCAAUGAUGCAGUUUUUUCGUGAGUAAACAGUU